GUGUCAGCAGCCGCGGUAAGACAGAGGGUGCAAACGUUGCUCGGAAUUACUGGGCGUAAAGCGCGUGUAGGCGGGCUGGAAAGUCGGGCGUGAAAUCCCCAGGCUCAACCUGGGAACUGCACUCGAAACUCCCAGUCUAGAGUGGUGGAGAGGGAAGUGGAAUUCCUGGUGUAGAGGUGAAAUUCGUAGAUAUCAGGAGGAACACCAGUGGCGAAGGCGGCUUCCUGGACACCAACUGACGCUGAGACGCGAAAGCGUGGGGAGCAAACAGGAUUAGAUACCCCGGUAGUCC
rnacentral:rRNA from 1 species